GCGGUGAAGAGACAAGCUGAGGAAACGGGGGCGUGGCUGACUGCGAGCGGCGGCCGUUAGUUAGCUCGAGUUUGCGGGUACUUCUGGAGUUCCAAAGCUAAAAAAGAUAGAGAGUGAAAAUCGAAAAUGACUGAAAUAAACCCAAUGUCCUCAGAAAGAAGUAAACUUUUAAGAAGAAGCUAUAUAGAAGAAAGCCCUCAGAAGUACUAAAGAAAAUGCAUUUUGGACUGUCCUUAACGUAAGGGAGAGAAGAAGCAGUUCAUCAAUUCAUCAAGAGAACACGAGCAAAAUUCUAUUUGGCCACCUUUCAAUCAUUCAGAGAAGUUACCACUAUGCUUUUUUUCAACUGUUCUCCAGAGCCUGUUUGCCCUCCGCCCACAGCUGCACUUUAAGGGAACUGGAAGAUAACAAACAUCUUUUUCUGCCCUUUUCCAAAAAUUUCUGUAAUGGUUAUAAGCUUUGAUUGCCAAGUAUGCCUAACCAAGUUAUGGGAGAACCUAUCUGUGUAUCCUAGUCAAACAAAUGCAUUCAGUUACACAUACAGAGGAAAUGGGCAGCCUUGAGUUUUGCCUUCCUAUCUAAAUAUUUUAUGGAAGUUGUUUCUAGCUGGAGUACAACAAUAACAGUUGUAGCUAACUUGUUUGCCUGGGAACAAUUUAUGUAAAAGUUCUCGGAAAAUGUAAUUGGAGGAUUUUUCCCUCUUUUUUCAUUUUGGAAUUGGUCUCACCUCCAUUUAGCAGUCAGCAAUGAUGUAAGAUGGUAAAUCUUCUCUAGUCAUUGAAAAAUGAAAAUGUGAGAUUUGUUCAUCUGCAGCUUUGGUCCAUAGCACAUAUGUGCCCACUAUAAUUAACAAGUAUUUUCUAGACAGUUCUUCAAUAGGUUUUCUGGGUUGUAGGAUUCUGUAUUUAGCCCCUUCAAUUGUGAAAUGCCUGUCCAAAAUAAAUUGUCAUCAGAAGCUGAGAAAUAAUAUAGGUUUCCUGCUGUGAGCAGAACUAAGUGGGUGGAAAGGGUAUUCUUUCUUGAGUAUUAGAAGUACAAGAUGUAACAAAGAAUGUGCAUGCUUGUAGCACAAGAUAGUGAAAGAACAUAUUAAAAUCUAUAUAGUAAUGUAAGAAACUGAGGUGAAAUAACUUAUUAGAUUUCAGUUUUUAAUAUUAUUAAAUGGAGUAACAAAGCAUAUAUAUCUCAACUACAUUACUAGGCUCUUUUUCUGUCCUAAUCUCUAUGUUCAAUUUGAUUUUGGCAGAAGAUUAUGAUAAUGAGUGCCUGGUAGCUUUAAUAGUCAUUAAUUAAGAGUUUGGGAGGGAAAGUUAUCUGAUAGAACUACCAGAUCUAAUGAAAUCUGAAAUCUACCAAAAAUCUGAUGACUGCUACAUGUGAGCAAAGAAUUUGAAAAUUCUGUGUCUGCUGAAUCUGGUAGUUGUCCUAUUUUCUGACAAAACCAUUUCAAAAUGGCAUUAGUGAUAUUAGACUCCAAAACGUUUUGAACAAGUGCUGAAUAAAUGGGAUUAAAAAAAAAACUAAUUUAGAAAUAGUUUAAAAAAACCCCAGACAAUGAUAAAAGUGGGGAGAGGAAGCAACCUGAAUGAUGAAUAAAAGAAAAUAGCUUUUGUUUUUAAAGAAAUUCUCUAUUCUUUGGUGCUCAUAUCGAGGGUGUGCUAUUACACCUGAUCUCCACAUCUUGGCAAUGUUAGUGUACUCAGGAUCAGGACUGAUUUUUCAGAGUUGGCUAUUCAUCAACCUGCACUAUUUGAUACGGUAUAGGAUAAGCUGCAUGUAAAGACAAACUGUGUACUGUAGUCCCUGUAGCAUAUGCUAAACCUGGAUCCAGUUUCUUUGAAAAAAUACCUGCUUUUUGUAUUAUUGUGUUUAGGUUACAUUAUCAUUCUCCCUUCCAUAUUUCUCUAUCUGCAGCAGUUAUUUCAGAGGAAGAAGGGGAUCUGAUCCACUCUCACAUAUGUUCAUGAACUCUUGAUUUUUAUCAUAUUUCAUACUUGUAACAUGUAUCAAUACAUAAAAUGUGGAUAAAUUCCUUUUCCAUUGUAAAUUAAAAGUGACUAUAUCCAGUCAAUUUUGGCAUAGGAAAUUGUAAGAUAUUUAGUAACCUUAUGUACUGUAUUUUGAAACCCUAAUUUAAUCCAGAACAUUAUUUCAUUAUAG